CCAAAGGCCCUUUUUAGGGCCAAACAAAAUUGCGUUUGGAGCUUCA
rfam:Ixodes scapularis strain Wikel colony gcontig_1108379450793, whole genome shotgun sequence.